rnacentral:rRNA from 1 species
UACAGAGGGUGCAAGCGUUGUUCGGAAUUACUGGGCGUAAAGCGUGCGCAGACGGUUGCGUAAGUCAGAUGUGAAAGCCCCGGGCUCAACCUGGGAAUUGCAUUUGAGACUGCGUAGCUAGGGUGCGGAAGAGGGAAGCGGAAUUUCCGGUGUAGCGGUGAAAUGCGUAGAUAUCGGAAGGAACACCAGUGGCGAAAGCGGCUUCCUGGUCCAGCACCGACGUUCAGGCACGAAAGCGUGGGGAGCAGACAGG